AGUGAACGCUGGCGGUAGGCCUAACACAUGCAAGUCGAACGGCAGCACAGUAAGAGCUUGCUCUUACGGGUGGCGAGUGGCGGACGGGUGAGGUAUACAUCGGAAUCUACUUUUUCGAGGGGGAUAACGUAGGGCAACUUACGCUAAUAACGCAUACGACCUACGGGUGAAAGCAGGGGAUCUUCGGACCUUGUGCGAUUGACUGAGCCGAUGUCGGAUUAGCUAGUUGGCGGGGUAAAGGCCCACCAAGGCGACGAUCCGUAGCUGGUCUGAGAGGAUGAUCAGCCACAGUGAGACUGAGCCACGGCCCUGACUCCUAGGGGAGGCAGCAGUGGGUAAGAUUGGACAAUGGGCGCAAGCCUGAUCCAGCCAUAGCGCGUGGGUGAAGAAGGCCUUCGGGUUGUAAAACCCUUUUGUUGGGAAAGAAAAGCAGCAAGUUAAUACCCCGCUGUUCUGACGGUACCCAAAGAAUAAGCACCGGCUAACUACGUG
rnacentral:rRNA from 1 species